rnacentral:rRNA from 1 species
GUACUCGAGUGGCGAACGGGUGAGUAACACGUGGGUGAUCUGCCCUGCACUUUGGGAUAAGCCUGGGAAACUGGGUCUAAUACCGAAUAUGACCGCGCUCUUCAUGGGGUGUGGUGGAAAGCUUUUGCGGUGUGGGAUGGGCCCGCGGCCUAUCAGCUUGUUGGUGGGGUAAUGGCCUACCAAGGCGACGACGGGUAGCCGGCCUGAGAGGGUGACCGGCCACACUGGGACUGAGAUACGGCCCAGACUCCUACGGGAGGCAGCAGUGGGGAAUAUUGCACAAUGGGCGCAAGCCUGAUGCAGCGACGCCGCGUGAGGGAUGACGGCCUUCGGGUUGUAAACCUCUUUCAAUAGGGACGAAGCGCAAGUGACGGUACCUAUAGAAGAAGGACCGGCCAACUACGUGCCAGCAGCCGCGGUAAUACGUAGGGUCCGAGCGUUGUCCGGAAUUACUGGGCGUAAAGAGCUCGUAGGUGGUUUGUCACGUUGUUCGUGAAAACUCACAGCUUAACUGUGGGCGUGCGGGCGAUACGGGCAGACUAGAGUACUGCAGGGGAGACUGGAAUUCCUGGUGUAGCGGUGGAAUGCGCAGAUAUCAGGAGGAACACCGGUGGCGAAGGCGGGUCUCUGGGCAGUAACUGACGCUGAGGAGCGAAAGCGUGGGGAGCGAACAGGAUUAGAUACCCUGGUAGUCCACGCCGUAAACGGUG